AUGUUUCGGAGCCGGGCUGAGGCUGCCAGUCAUUUAAAGUUUGCUUUUACGUGCUCACACCGAGGAGAGCUGGGCUGGUUGGAGCGAGCGUUACAAAGCCUCUUUCUAGGAAAGGAGCUUUACGCAACAGAAGGCAAAAUAGGUCGUUGUCAAGGUUUAGGGCAUUCGCAAAAGAAAGUAAACAAGCGGGUGAGAUGGGAGGUCGGCUCGGCGCGGUGCUGGGCAGGAUAUGGCCCUGGGCUUGGUGCAAGGCCAUGCGUGCCGGAGGGUUUCCUGGGAGGGAAGUCAGCCUCAUGCCUGGGGCGGUGCGACUCUGCCCUGAUUCCCUCUGUGAUCCCUGGCAAACCAGUCGAUCCCAGUGCCCCAUCCAGACAGAGGGAGGAAUCGCCGCCCCGUGACACCCAAGGGUGUUGUCUGGGGGCAGGGCUUGCAGCCGGGCAGCCGGAGCAGGAGCUGACAUCGCUGCUGAUUCACGAUGGGACUGCGCUUGCCCGUGCUCUGCCCUAUGAAACUCACUGGAAGAGCAUCCCACACGCUGGGAUGGUUGAGCAACUCGACUCCUUUACACAGAGGAACAACGAGGUAGAGAAGGUUCCCGUGGGGAGCCAGGCAGAGCUACCUGGCUCGCUUGGGUUCAGCUGGCUGUCCCUCCUGGCCGCCUCUGAGGUCACUGGUCCCCUUGUUGGUGAGGAACUUGAGGCUACACCUUGGAGGAGCAUCUGGUCAUGGAUGAUCUAUCCGAAGGCUGAGGACACUGGAGGAUAUGAGGGCCCUGGGCUGGGACAUGCAUCACUCCGGAGUACGGCCAAGGCUCUUCUACACCAUCGCUGCAUCCAGGAGCACCAGGUCCUGCACGGCAAAACAGAAGCGGUCCCAGAACAUCCCCAGCGAUGGACAUAA
rnacentral:lncRNA from 1 species